UACUGCUCCCACUGGAAGGCUAUUCCAGGUAUCUACUACCCUUUCUACAUCACUGUUAGCCUAUACUGCUCCCACUGGAAGGCUAUUCCAGGUGUCUACUACCCUUUCUAUAUCACUGUUACUGCUCCCACUGGAAGGCUAUUCCAGGUAUCUACUACCCUUUCUAUAUCACUGUUACUGCUCCCAGUGGAAGGCUAUUCCAGGUAUCUACUACCCUUUCUAUAUCACUGUUACUGCUCCCACUGGAAGGCUAUUCCAGGUAUCUACUACCCUUUCUAUAUCACUGUUACUGCUCCCACUGGAAGGCUAUUCCAGGUAUCUACUACCCUUUCUGUAUCACUGUUACUGCUCCCACUGGAAGGCUGUUCCAGGUAUCUACUGCCCUUUCUAUAUCGCUGUUACUGCUCCCACUGGAAGGCUAUUCCAGGUAUCUACUACCCUUUCUAUAGCACCAUUAAAUUAUUUCACUGGAAGGUAUCCCCUUACUGUUAUAACCCUUUCAAUAUCCACUAGAAGACUGUUCCAUGCAUUUACUAUGCUUUCUACAAAGCCUUUUUUUCUCACCUUAUUCCCUAGUCUUCCAUUUUUCUUCUAGUACUUAGAAAUGAAAGCGUUUUGUAUGUAUCAGCCAGUAGGAUUAUUGUGUCUAUUGUUAACAUAUAUCAGCUGUUAAAACAUUUGGAAUGCAAAAUCCAUAGUUAUACCACCCAGGGCAGUGAUAACACUUGUAGAGUUAUUCACUAAGGUGUGAAUUGUUGGAAAUUGGAAGUUAAUUCAAAAAUCAAAUACUGGGCUAAAGUAGCCAAACAAAAAAAUUAGCUGAUUUUUUUCCCUUCAAGUUUAGCUAUUUUUAUCAAAUUCAGCUAUACCCAAAAUGGGAAAACCAAAUUAAAUGCACUUUUAGGCUACAAUACAAAUGAUUUAAAAAAAAAAAAACGUUCCAAGUAAGUUUUUGUCAUAGAAUUACAAUUCAGUUUUUAGUGAAUUAACCCCCACUUUACCUGCCGCCUGGCUAGCUCACACACCGCACGGAUAUUCCAGGUAUCUACUACCCUUUCUAUAUCACUGUUACCGCUCUCACUGGAAGGCUAUUCCUGGUAUCUACUACCCUUUCUAUAUCACUGUUACUGCUCCCACUGGAAGGCUAUUCCUGGUAUCUACUACCCUUUCUACAUCACUGUUACUGCUCCCACUGGAAGGCUAUUCCAGGUAUCUACUACCCUUUCUACAUCACUGUUACUGCUCCCACUGGAAGGCUAUUCCAGGUAUCUACUACCCUUUCUAUAUCACUGUUACUGCUCCCACUGGAAG
rnacentral:lncRNA from 1 species